rfam:Picea glauca, whole genome shotgun sequence.
CUUAUGGUUUUUUUUAAAACCAAACUAAACUAUAUAUAUAGAUCAGU